CAGUCAUCAGAGCGUGGAUUGCCGCCCGGCGGUCACAGUAGAUGUUCCCAAGUUCUCAGAACAGAAAAACAACUGAGGACAACUGGUCGACUCUGGUCGAUAAAAGCUGGGUUGACGGUGAAUCUGCUUGGCUUAACAAAGGAAAUUGCUGAUGAACUGUUCUCCGGAAAUGAGACGAGUUUCAAUACGAUCAUCCUUGCUUGUUGUGUUUCUUCUAACACAUGUUUUACAUCAUGCAACUGCGAGGAUUUGCUACCACUGUGACUCUCGUAACGAAGCUUGCCCAGAGGACUCCGUCAAUGGCACAAGUAGCACAACCUGUUCAGAAGGAAAUAACUUCUGUGUGGUUGUAAAGGAUGGCAGGCACGAGGAGACAAGGUUCCAUCGAGAUUGCAUUAACAAAUGCGACAAGGAAUUGGUAGACUGGAGUAAGGAUGGCGAAGAAUACUGCAAGAUGUGCUGCGGCGAAGAUUACUGUAACGUUGGUCGGUGUAGCUCCAGUGUGUUCACACCGUCACACGUAUUCUUUGUUUUAAGUGCUAUCGUUACCUUUAGAAAAAUGAUUGUAUUAGCUUAACAUCAACAGCGACAGCCGAAUAUGAGCCAUGGAUAUGAUAAAGAGAAGGCUAUUCAGUUACUGGACAGUAGUGAGGUGUAAUAGUUUGUGAUUCAGUAAGAAAACUAAACACUGUGAAGUUUACAUGAAAUAAUUCAUAUUAGAACUGCGGUUGUAGAUGAAAGUGC